rnacentral:lncRNA from 1 species
GAUCGGGCGUGAUCAUGUGGAUUGAUGAGUUACCAUAAACAAUCCGAGAUUCUGGGCUAGCUGGUAAUUUGUUGAGAUCGCGGGCAUUCAAAUGUUUGAUGGAUGCUAAAGCGGAGAUCGUGGGAUUUGAUCCUGGAGAUGGAGGGCUUAAUUUUUGGUGUAGGGGGGAGGUCUACUUCUCCUUUUGACUGGGUCUUUCUCGGCCAUGAGGCCGACCAGGCUCUAUCCUGUCGAAAUUGAAGUCGUGAG